CCUACGGGAGGCAGCAGUGGGGAAUAUUGCACAAUGGGGGAAACCCUGAUGCAGCGACGCCGCGUGAGUGAAGAAGUAUUUCGGUAUGUAAAGCUCUAUCAGGAGGGAAGAAAAUGACGGUACCUGAUCCAGAAGCCCCGGCGAACUACGUGCCAGGAGCCGCGGUAAUACGGAGGGGGCAAGCGUUAUCCGGAUUUACUGGGUGUAAAGGGAGCGUAGGCGGCAGCACAAGUCUGGAGUGAAAUGCCGGGGCUUAACCCCGGAACUGCUUGGGAAACUGUGCAGCUAGAGUGCAGAAGAGGGGAGUGGAACUCCAGGUGUAGCGGUGAAAUGCGUAGAUAUAUGGAGGAACACCAGUGGCGAAGGCGGCUCUCUGGUCUGUAACUGACGCUGAGGUUCGAAAGCGUGGGUAGCAAACAGGAUUAGAUACCCCAGUAGUC
rnacentral:rRNA from 1 species